AGCGAACGCUGGCGGCAGGCUUAACACAUGCAAGUCGAACGGGCGUAGCAAUACGUCAGUGGCAGACGGGUGAGUAACGCGUGGGAACGUACCUUUUGGUUCGGAACAACCCAGGGAAACUUGGGCUAAUACCGGAUAAGCCCUUACGGGGAAAGAUUUAUCGCCGAAAGAUCGGCCCGCGUCUGAUUAGCUAGUUGGUGAGGUAACGGCUCACCAAGGCGACGAUCAGUAGCUGGUCUGAGAGGAUGAUCAGCCACAUUGGGACUGAGACACGGCCCAAACUCCUACGGGAGGCAGCAGUGGGGAAUAUUGGACAAUGGGCGCAAGCCUGAUCCAGCCAUGCCGCGUGAGUGAUGAAGGCCCUAGGUUGUAAAGCUCUUUUGUGCGGGAAGAUAAUGACGGUACCGCAAGAAUAAGCCCCGGCUAACUUCGUGCCAGCAGCCGCCGCUGUAAU
rnacentral:rRNA from 1 species